AGAACGAACGCUGGCGGCACGCCUAACACAUGCAAGUCGAGCGCCCAGCAAUGGGAGCGGCGGACGGGUGAGUAACACGUGGGAAUAUGCCUUUCGGUACGGAACAACUCAGGGAAACUUGAGCUAAUGCCGUAUACGCCCUUACGGGGAAAGAUUUAUCGCCGAAAGAUUAGCCCGCGUCUGAUUAGCUAGUUGGUGAGGUAAUGGCUCACCAAGGCUUCGAUCAGUAGCUGGUUUGAGAGAACGACCAGCCACACUGGGACUGAGACACGGCCCAGACUCCUACGGGAGGCAGCAGUGGGGAAUCUUGGACAAUGGGGGAAACCCUGAUCCAGCGAUGCCGCGUGAGUGAUGAAGGCCUUCGGGUUGUAAACUCUUUCGACGGGGACGAUAAUGACGGUACCCGUAGAAGAAGCUCCGGCUAACUCGUGCCAGCAGCCGC
rnacentral:rRNA from 1 species